GGAAGGGGUGUAUUUUAUUAGAUAAAAAACCAACGCCCUUUCGGGGCUCCUUGGUGAAUCAUAAUAACUUAACGAAUCGCAUGGCCUUGCGCCGGCGAUGGUUCAUUCAAAUUUCUGCCCUAUCAACUUUCGAUGGUAGGAUAGUGGCCUACCAUGGUGGCAACGGGUAACGGGGAAUUAGCCUUCGAUUCCGGAGAGGGAGCCUGAGAAACGGCUACAUCAUCCAAGGAAGGCAGCAGGCGCGCAAAUUACCCAAUCCCGAUACGGGGAGGUAGUGACAAUAAAUACUGAUACGGGGCUCUUUUGGGUCUCGUAAUUGGAAUGAGAACAAUUUAAAUCCCUUAACGAGGAACAAUUGGAGGGCAAGUCUGGUGCCAGGGAACGCGGUAAUUCCAGCUCCAAUAGCGUAUAUUAAAGUUGUUGCAGUUAAAAAGGGCGUAGUUGAACCUUGGGCCUGGCUGGCCGGUCCGCCUCACCGCGAGUACUGGUCCGGCUGGGCCUUUCCUUCUGGGGAACCUCAUGGCCUUCACUGGCUGUGGGGGGAACCAGGACUUUUAC
rnacentral:rRNA from 1 species